CCUANGAAUCUGCCUGGUAGUGGGGGACAACGUUUCGAAAGGAACGCUAAUACCGCAUACGUCCUACGGGAGAAAGCAGGGGACCUUCGGGCCUUGCGCUAUCAGAUGAGCCUAGGUCGGAUUAGCUAGUUGGUGAGGUAAUGGCUCACCAAGGCGACGAUCCGUAACUGGUCUGAGAGGAUGAUCAGUCACACUGGAACUGAGACACGGUCCAGACUCCUACGGGAGGCAGCAGUGGGGAAUAUUGGACAAUGGGCGAAAGCCUGAUCCAGCCAUGCCGCGUGUGUGAAGAAGGUCUUCGGAUUGUAAAGCACUUUAAGUUGGGAGGAAGGGUUGUAGAUUAAUACUCUGCAAUUUUGACG
rnacentral:rRNA from 1 species